UAGGGAAUCUUCCGCAAUGGGCGAAAGCCUGACGGAGCAACGCCGCGUGAGUGAUGAAGGUCUUCGGAUCGUAAAACUCUGUUAGCAGGGAAGAACAAAUGUGUAAGUAACUAUGCACGUCUUGACGGUACCUAAUCAGAAAGCGACGUCUAACUACGUGCCAGCAGCCGCGGUAAUACGUAGGUGGCAAGCGUUAUCCGGAAUUAUUGGGCGUAAAGCGCGCGUAGGCGGUUUUUUAAGUCUGAUGUGAAAGCCCACGGCUCAACCGUGGAGGUUCAUUGGAAACUGGAAAUCUUGAGUACAGAAGAGGAAAGUGGAAUUCCAUGUGUAGCGGUGAAAUGCGCAGAGAUAUGGAGGAACACCAGUGGCGAAGGCGGCUUUCUGGUCUGUAACUGACGCUGAUGUGCGAAAGCGUGGGGAUCAAACAGG
rnacentral:rRNA from 1 species